rnacentral:lncRNA from 1 species
AAUUACAAUUAAAACGUCAUGCUGUAUUUACAUCACAUAGGCAGAUAACCAUAUCAGUAUAUCUAUCAACUAUCUUCAUUAACCCUAAAACAACCAAUAACAUCUGUAUUCCUAACCCAAGACAGUAUGGACUAUUGAUGCCAAGGACAAUAACCACAAACUAUCCUAAACUGAAAAUGUGCAUAUUGAACAUUUGAGAGUGCCAACUGAUUUAUUACAACAACAUUCUAACUUUAAAAGGAAAGCACCAAACUAUUACACUAGAAUCCUAUUUUUGAAAGGGAAAUUAUAAACUAAUUCUAUUACAAUUCAUAGGAAAUUAGCAGUCUAAUGAAGUCUUGCCCCUUUGGAUAUAGUUGAUCCAACCAAGGCCUGAUUCACCACCUGGAGCCACCACUUUUAGCAUGAUAUCAACAGCAGUAUUUCAGCUCUUAGCUUUUGAACUUGCUGAUUUGGCCAACUAGUGGCCAAAUCCAUAGGUUAUAGCUCAUGGUUAGCAAGACAAACCCCAAAUGACCUCAAGUAAACACCAUGUUAUUCAUCAUCAGAAGAAGAAGGGAAGAAAUGGCUUCAAUAACUAAUAUUCAGAAUCAGUGUUAAUCAUGAAGAACAUAUGCAAAAUCAGUUCUAUCACUGCAAGAUUUUAACUAAAGAAAUAACUUCAAACAAACCACUAAAAUCAGCACUUCCCAUUUUAAGGGAAAAGCUACCAGUAUUAAUGUACUAUCAAAACUAGAUCAUUUUUUCAACCUUAGGAUCAUAUAACAAAAGAUUUAAUCAGACCCAUAGCAGUAUAAUCAGUAACUGACAUGAAAUGACAUUUAUUUAACACACAUAGUUGUAACUUUAUUGAUAUUAUAUCAUUCCAAAUAGGCAGUAUAUCAGAAGAGGUAAAAUCAGUACCUUAACAACAUCAAAAAACCAGCAGUCAACAGAUGAAAUGUUGAUUGAAACUUUAAAGAGGGAGCAUCAACCAAAACCAAAUAACAACAGUAAGAAACCAACCCAGAAAACCAAGAAACAACACCCAAACUUCUCAGAAAUCAGAGUAUUUGAGAAAUCUGCCUAAAAUCUAACUAGGAAAACUGAUGCUUUUUCCAUAAAGUUUUAAGGAUUUUUUUUUGUAUUCUGAAAAUUUUCAGGUGCAGAUAUGCUGAUGAAUGUGUGUGAGAAUGAGCGAAUAGCUUUCCUUUUAUAGGGUAUAUCCAAAAUAGAAUCAAAAGAAUAUUCUACCCUAAAUUUCUUAGAUAGUACAACAUAUUUUGACAGAGAAUAAUGGAUAACUGUCCAAUUUUUCAGCAUCUUUUAAACAAUUUUGGUCAGCUGGUACACUUCUAGAAUCUUUCUUUUCCUAGAUAUUUUCUUCUAAAAUUUCUGAAAUCAUCCUAAAUAUCCUUUUAGUUCAAUUAGAUCCUUACAAGUUUCUAAUGAUUUACAAAUCAAGCAAACAGGGACAUGGCCAGCAAUUAACCGAAAUCAAAUCAAAACAAUAAUCAAGCAAUAAAAUAAUGCAAUUGAAUCCUACAAUAUUAAGCAUCCAAAAACCUAAAUUAAACUAAACCCUAGCAUGAAUCAAAUCGUGAUGGAAUCAGCAGGAAUUUCAUGCAAUGAAACUCCUAAAACAUGCUAAUUCAUAUUAACAUAAGCAAGACAAACAAACACAUAAAACUGGAACACUGAAAAUCCUAAAUUAAUCUAAUUUGCAAAAUUAAACUAAUUAUCUAUUCAUAAUAAUUACAAAAUUAGUUAAACCUAAAUUAAUGAAGUGGAAAUUACUAAUCUAAUAUUAAAAGCUAAAAAUGUAAAAUGAAUGAUAUUUUUUGUGAUUUUCAUUUCAAUAAAGCAAAUAAUUAACCAAUUAAUUCUAAAAUAUGAACACAAAAUCUAAUAUGCAAUGCAUGAUAUUUUUAAUAUUUUUGGGGCAUUUUUUCAUGAUUUUUAAAUAAAUUAAAUGUGCACAAAAUGCAAACAAUUAAUAAAAUCUCAACAGUAUCGGCAUAUAGCCUAAACAUGAUUUCUAGCAUGAUAAACAACUUCAUUACUUUAUCACAUGAUGAAAACACUGUCACACCUCCUUUUUACCCGAAAAGGGAUAGGGAGUUUUUCUAAUUAAAGUGACAUAAAUCGAAAUGUGAUUAUUUAUUCAAUUCAGAGUCGCCACUUGAGAUAAUAUAUGGUGUCCCAAGUUACCGGUUUAUUUUAAAUCCCAAAUCGAGGAAAGUUUGACUCCGUUUAAUGUCUGCGAAAACCAGAAGACCGGGUAAGGAAUUCUAUUAACUUGGGAGAAGGUGUGAGGCACUCCCGAGUUCCGUGAUUUUAGCACAGUCACUCAACUAUUAAUAAUUGGCCUAAUUAUCUGAUUAAUUACAUGUUUUAAACCUAUUGUGCAUUUUUAAGUUUAUAAUCGCUUUUAUUUAUAUAAGGAGUUAUUUCUGGAACAAGUCACGAUUGUCGUACACUUGUUGUUUUGGUACACAUUAUAAACUGCGUCAGGGGAACCGUACCCGCGAUCUACAACAUGUUUAUUUUUAUUAUUUAUCAAAGUUAUGGUCGAUUCACGUGAAACGCACACUCGAAUUGAGAAUUACGUAUCAUGAUUAUGCCAAAGGAACCGUACCCAUAGUCACGAUAAUUCAUUUAUGCGCCUAAAAGUUUGCCUACCCAUGUGUUGAUGGCCUAAACAUGCUACUAGCGAUUAAACUAGUAGAAUAAAACAAUUAGCAUGCUAAACUUAACUUUCAUUAUUAACGUCCAACCCCCACAACCAAAUUCAUCAGAUUAUUUAAUGAAUAAAAACUACUAUUUCUUAGCUUAAACCUUAUUUAAUAUUUAAAUAAUACUAAUUCAAAUUAUGUAAUUAAACCAUAAUCUAGAACAAUUAAAAAUCUACUUUAAAUUCCGAACACUAGCAAACAAACAAUAUAUCAAACAUGUAAUCACCAAAUUUAUACUAUCUAAAAUCAAGCAUAGGACAAAACACUAAGAGAAAUAAGGCAAGAAUUGGACCUCAAGUGAGCAGAGACAGCUUCAAAACUCGGUUAAAUAUGAAAUUCCAGGCCCAGCAAUUUACAACAGAAGGCCAACUCGAACCACAAAAAUAAAUGGUAAACCUUUCACCGAAGCUUCGAACGGAUCUCACACGACUUAGCCUCAAUCGAAUACCAGUGAAAACCAAAGGUCCGAAUUUGAAGAGAAGAAAUAGAAAUAUUUUGUAUAUUAAUUCAAAACAGAAACAUUGGCUCCUUCAUCCAUUUUUGUCGAAAUCUGAAGGCCAACAAAAAAUUGGACAACAAAUUUAAAAGCAAAAAUAUUCCCCAAAGCCUUAAUACCUUUCUGUCUCUCCACCUGCGUGCAUGUGUAUGGGAUUGUUGAUUUUGGCCAAGGAAUUAGAAAUUGAUGUGAUUUUGGGGAUUUUUGGUUUAAUCCUUUUUGGGUUUUUAGUUAACAUGUGGAAAAGUUGGACCAGGCGCUAGGGAGAUAGGGUGGUGCGGCAGUGGUGGUUGACCUUAGGGGUGGGCCGCUGGUCUUCUUCUCUAGGGUAUAUGUGUUAGGGUGUAUAUGCUAAAGGGUCUAGGUUAAAGGAUGGAGUAAUG